rnacentral:tRNA from 1 species
GGCUCAGUGGUCUAGUGGUAUGAUUCUCGCUUUGGGUGCGAGAGGUCCCGGUUUCGAUCACCUGCUGAGCCC